CACGGACACGACUGGAAACACCAUUUUUCAAUCUUUCAAGAACCAUAACUCCUGAACGGUAAAAGUCAAAAUCGUCAUUAUUGAACUUGACCUCUAUUUUGUCAUCAGUAACAACAUAUUAAAAUUUGGGAAGCUUUGGUAAAACAGUUCAUGCGUAAAUGCACGAACACGACUGGAAACACCAUUUUUCAAUCUUUCAAGAACCAUAACUCCUGAACGGUAAAAGUCAAAAUCGUCAUUAUUAAACUUGACCUCCAUUUUGUCAUCAGUAACAACAUAUUAAAAUUUGGGAAGCUUAGGUAGAACAGUUCAUGCGUAAAUGCACGGACACGACUGGAAACUCCAUUUUUCAAUCUUUCAAGAAUCAUAACUCCUGAACGGUAUAAGUCAAAAUCGCCAUUAUCGGACUUGAUCUCCAUUUUGUCAUCAGUAACAACAUAUUAAAAUUUGGAAAGCUUAGGUAGAACAGUUCAUGCGUAAAUGCAGGGACACGACUGGAAACUCCAUUUUUCAAUCUUUCAAGAACCAUAACUCCUGAACGGUAAAAGUCAAAAUCGCCAUUAUUGAACUUGACCUUCAUUUAGUUGUCAGUAACAACAUAUUAAAAUUUUAAAAGCUUUGGUUGAACGGUUCAUGAGUUAAUGCACGGACAACAUUUGAUUCCCGCC
rnacentral:lncRNA from 1 species